ensembl:lncRNA
GUUUGAUUAGUACUAGUAAGUCAGGUGUGAUUAAAACCUCCUUUUUUGAGUUCUUCUUUAACUCCCAUUCAAAAGGCACGCACACCUCUCACCUGUCCAGGUGAACUUAAAGGUGAGUGCACGUCACACCUUCCACUUCACCACAUCAGUGAAACGGUGAGGUUAAUGUACAGAUAUUACAUUCUGCGCCCCGUCCGGGACUGUCAUUAUAAGAGCUGUGUUCAAUAAACGAAGAAAACAAGUCACCUACCUUGUUGUUUACGUUUCUAUCUUUGUCGAGCUGGUCGUAACGAAUAAAAAAAAAGAAGAAAGAAAAAAAAGGGGGGCAGUUUGUAGAGGAGCCGUGGCGGAGCUUUCGGAGAGGGGGGUGAAGAAGCGGAUCCGAGGGGUAAAUGUGGUAAAAAAGGGUAAAAAGCCCGGCUGUAGCUGGAGCAGCGUUAUUCCUGGCGCGCAGGUUGGGACUGAUCCCUUUCAGCCACUCCAGGAAACCAACCUGCGGACGGACUGACGUGUUACGCCUCUUCUAAUGACAUUUUUUUCUUCUCUCUCUCUCUCUCUCUCUCUCUCUCUCUCUCUCUCUCUCUCUCUCUCUCUCUUUUCUUUGCUGUAACACAGAGCAGGAGAGAGAGAGGGAGAGAGACAGAGAGACAGAGAAAGAGAGAGAUAGGCUGAAACACGCGCCACCUAUCUUCACGGGGAGGGAUAAUUGAGGAGGACCAAACGUGAGCAUCUUCAGGGAACCCCAAUCAGACCGGAGCGCGGGCGGGAAAAGGUGCCUCAACAUCCUCAACAUCUGGAGCUGUGGAGGCGGCAGCUGCGGGAGGGGGAGCGCCACUUAAGGGGACCAGGACGUAGAUCUUCACAAAGGCGCAGCAGUCCCGGUGGAGCAGCGGAGUCUUCGCUACUGGAGGAUCCUCAGAAAGCAUCUCCCCUUCCUGCAAGUACUGGAUUACAUGCAUAUCAUUAGGCUUCAAUUCACACCAAGGCAAAGUAUUUCUGCUGGAUUUAAAGAGUGUCUGUUCCCCUUUGGCUCUCCGACCAGCAGAGAAAGGAAGUCCAUGAGAAAGUCCCAGAAAAUCUCACAUCUGCAGCAGGGAUGGAGCAGAGUACACACAGAGGUCAAGUCCCCGGCGAUGCGAAAGUACCAGAUUGGAAGCCUCAAAACCAGCAGCAUUUUUGACUAUUUUGAUGUUCCAGCUUUGUGAAGCAAAGCCACAAGAGUAGAGGCAGAAAACACACCCAAUUAAUUCUGACAUUGACAGGAUUUCUCUCUCUCUCUCUCUCUCUCUCUCUCUCUCUGUCUCUCUCCGUCUCUCUCUGCAGCCUCCCGGCCUAAAAAAGGUAAGCACAGGGAAAAAAAAACAGGAAAACUUUGACUCAGGGCAGAUGACUUAUCACUCGCCGAAAUUAAUAAUUGACUGCCGUUAAGAUGAAUAAUUAAUCAAGCACUGGAAUAAUUGUUGUAUCUCUAAUCUCUACACACAUUUGCAUAUGAGUCUUUUUAAAGCAAGCCUCUAUAUAUAUAUAUGUGUGUGUGUGCGUGUGUGAGAGGAUUCUCUCAGGAGCACAGAGAUAUAAUUAAUAACGCUAACUUGAGUCUCUCUGCCCAAGUGUGGGGUUAGCAUUCCAGCUAGAGUUAAGAAAAAUCAAUAAAGUACAUUUGAUGAAUAUGACUGGACAGUUUUUUGUUUUGAUGGGAUCAUACAGUGCGCUGUAUUCAAGCGGCAGCAUCGUUAGUAGAGCUGUUACUGUGCUUGUUAUUAUACAUAUUACAGUUCUGUGAGUUCGUGUAGACGCUAUAAAAGCAGGCAGGCUGUAGCCACAGGGGGCGAGAGAGGGCGAGAGGUGGAGGUCUAUGUGGACCUACAGAGAGUAAUAAUUAAAAGGGAGAAUAAUAUGGUUGUAAUAAAGCACAACAGUGACUUACAUAACUUGCAGUUUUUUGGAAUAAUAUAAUGUGAUCUUUGUGUUCAUUCAUCAGCAUUUUAUGUAAGUGAAGAAAUAACAGUCACAUGUUUUCUCUCUCUCUCUCUCUCUCUCUCUCUCUCUCUCUCUCUCUCCCUCCCUCUCUCGGUCAUCUACACACAAGCUUCAGUAAGAACCGUGUGUAUGUCCUGCUAGCAUUUGACUAUGAGUAAUAUUUGAUUUUUGACUUCUGAAAGUUUCUGUUUUAACACAAGGACCAUAUGCCCCUCAGUAGACUGUGCUAAAACUCUGCAAUUUGAUAGAACUGAUCUAAGUAAGCUUUUUUAUAGAACUGCUAUAACUAUAGUCUAUAACUCAGCAGAAAAAUGCAGAAUACUAGUACAAACAAGCAUAAAGCUAGUACAUCAGCCCUAUGGCUUAGCAAAGAAAUAGGCUUCAGUAAGCAGAGCUGUCAUUACUGUAAUGUGAUUACCUUUUCUUGUAAUGCAUUACAGUUCAAAAUUUUGCAGUGACAUUACAGUUACUGACUUAACAAAAAUGAUACUUGCAUUACUCAUAUCGUCGCUGUCUGAACAAAAUCUCAUACCUCCAAAUGAGCAACUUUACAGAAGAAGGGAAAACGCUCUUAACUGUUAACAGAAUUUUAUCUUUCUUUUUCAAGUAACUGUGGACCAUUUCUAGUCAUCUGCUCAAUGUACAAUUGUAAGACAAUGUACUGGGGAACUAAGGUUUUUGAAUUAAGUAAAAAAUGACAAAAAAUGGCAGUAGAAAAUUUUGUUGCGGCUGUGACAAUAUGUCUCAAAGGGAGCAAUAUUAAUAAUAAUUAUGUGCAAUGCAUUUAAAGCAUGCAUUUCCUCUAUGUAGAUUUUUCGUAUGUGCCUACAAUAGCAGACUGCGCUAGUUUGACUGGGAAUAUAGUUAUAGCGUGAGAAACGCUGUAACUCCACACACAGUCUGUCAAACAUCUAAUCUAUGCUAAUGUAAAACUGAUGGAUAAAGAUCCUCAUGCUGAAGAGGAGGAGAAGAGAGCCCCUAAACAGACCAGACAUGUUUUACAGAGCCCUAUAAGCUAUACAUUGUUUAUUAAAGAUAUUAUGUCGAAGCAGUUGCUUUGGAACUGCAUUACUAUUGGGUUUUCCCCUAUACAGAGUAACAUAGAAGUAAAGUAAAGAGUGAUUAGGUUAUGUUCAUACUUAACAAAGUUAUUCCAAUACAGUUUGAGAAAAGUAAAUUGUAACUGGUUACUUUUUUAGCACGUAGUAAUGGACUACAUGUAAUGUACCAUUUUUAAAUGUAAUUAAAAAAAGAAAUGAGUACUGGAUAUAAGUGUACCACAAAUAACCAGUCAUCUGUCACCAGCUCUCUCUCUCUCUCUCUCUCUCUCUCUCUCUCUCUAUCUCUCUCUAUCUCUGUCUCUCUGUCUCUCUCCAAUCCCAUCUUCAUUUGGCUGGUUCUUUAACAGGCCGAACUGAAGGGAGUUGAUUCCCCUUUGAUCCUGACGCUUGUUGUAAGAGAGAACGGCUUGAAGAGAGCGUUUGGCUACAAUUGACUGCUACAAUUAAGGCAUGAUCAGAGGCCCAGAGGGCUGCACUUAACCGCCACAUCUACAUGUCAGCUUGGUGAAUUAAAAAAAAAAAAAAAGCAAAAGAAAAAAGAGGCAAAAAAUAUGCAGCGCUGGAUUUUUUUCUCUCUUUAUUUCCUGUGUGGCUGGUAAACUGUAAUUUGUGGGGAGUUAAGAAAGCACAUGGAGAGGAGCAGAGAUGCACAUUACCAUGUGAAAGGAAGCAAUCAGGGGACCACUGCUGAGUCUAUUGUCCAGAGAGACUGCUGAUCCUCAGAGAGAGAGAGAGAGGGAGGGGGAGAAGGCAGGGAGAGAGAGAGUUUUCAGGCCAUGAUAGUUCUCAUAGAGACGAUGGGUGUGAACAAGGUGGAGCAAGAGUGUGUGAAGAGUAUGUUUGUGCAUUUGUAAGAUUUAACUGAUCUGUAGAGCGUACAGUACUCUCUCUUUGCCGACAUAAACGUGUAAAAGCUUCAGCGUCCAGUCACCAGCAAGUGUAAAAAAAGGAAAAAAAGGCUUCAAUCUCCAGGUGACCGCCUUGGCCAGACAGACUGGACAGAACGUUCGGAGGCGGGGGCAGAGGGCCGUUUCAGAUGAAAGUCUGUCAUUUGCCUUAGCAAAUCAGAGAACAGCACUAGCAUGAGCCAAAACUGAUGGACAUUUCAAGUGUCUACACAGAACAUAACAGUGAAUCAGAGACAGCAUUAGGUGUUAGCAGGGGUUUGCAAUUAACUGAUGACCUGCAUGCAUCAUAUAAAGGGCAUAUUAAGACUAAUUUUAGAGAGUAAGUAUAUUAUGUUGUACAUAUAGCGCAGUAUAAACUACAUAGUAAGACGUUGCUGAUUGGAUGUCGGCCCAUUAUGACAUCAUUUUACUUUAUUGAUUUAUGUUAAUCAUUUCGUUUCUUUUUGUGAAUGUUUCACUAUAAAGGUGCUGCUCAAUGUUGUAUACUUCAUAUUUCGUGAAACAAACUAUCAUGACGUUAUAGUUUUACCAUGUCACCCACGCUUAUUGCACUGUAUAUAUUGUUUUUACACACUGUUUGUCACUGACUUACUCUUGUAGCCUUUUGCUAUGAAAGGCGUUUGAUUCCUUUAUAGAAGUCAGAUUUUUCUGAGAUGGCAUUUUAUUGUGUGUACCAUGCAGUGAAAACAGUGAGAAGGAUUUUUGUUAUGCUGAGCUGAUAUAAUGACAAUAAAGUUGAACUGAAUGAGAGAAAAAAAUGUGUGAGCCAUAAAAGGCCAUUCAGCAAAAUUGUUUUAUAGAAGUCGGACAUGUUUGAAAAGCCUGCUGGACCGACGCGCUGUGAGUGUGUUUACAGUCCAGUGGAGUUAAACUAUUGUGCUCACUCAACCUCAGACCACUCUUCCCCUCCCUCUGUGCAGCCCCCCCAACCCACGCUGCCCUCUACAACACCCCCCAACCAACUCAACCUCCAAAACUUUAUUUAGCUGCUCCAAAGAGCUGUUUGUGUCCCAAAGCGGUGUCCUACCACUUUUCAGUUUGAUGCCCAUUAACAUCUGAAAUACUUAUUGCUGUGGAUGUGAACCUGUUGUUGUUGUAGGUUCCAGAUACAAACAAACUUGGAAUUUAUUUAAACGCAGUGUGGAUGUGAUAUUUUCAAAUUAUGGGAAUUUAAACUUUGAGUCCAUAUAGGGGUCCAAUUCCUCAAAAAAAUAAAAACAAAGUUAUUUGAAUUAUGUCACUUUUCUGUACAAUCAA